rnacentral:rRNA from 1 species
AGUCUUAGUUCGGAUUGUAGGCUGCAACUCGCCUACAUGAAGUCGGAAUUGCUAGUAAUCGCGAAUCAGAAUGUCGCGGUGAAUACGUUCCCGGGCCUUGUACACACCGCCCGUCACACCAUGAGAGUCGAUAACACCCGAAGCCUGUGAGCUAACCGUAAGGAGGCAGCAGUCGAAGGUGGGGUUGAUGAUUGGGGUGAAGUCGUAACAAGGUAGC